rnacentral:rRNA from 1 species
UACGUAGGGUGCAAGCGUUAAUCGGAAUUACUGGGCGUAAAGCGUGCGCAGGCGGCUAUGCAAGACAGAUGUGAAAUCCCCGGGCUCAACCUGGGAACUGCAUUUGUGACUGCAUGGCUAGAGUACGGUAGAGGGGGAUGGAAUUCCGCGUGUAGCAGUGAAAUGCGUAGAUAUGCGGAGGAACACCGAUGGCGAAGGCAAUCUCCUGGGCCUGUACUGACGCUCAUGCACGAAAGCGUGGGGAGCAAACAGG